GAUGCUAGGGUCAAAAGGUCUAAGCCCACAUGAGCUUGCUCAUAAGUGGGUGAAAGACCUUGGGACCCGCCCCCCAUAUGAGCAUAAAAGCGGGAUGAUAAUCCCACGAUAUGCGAAUAUCGAGGAGGAUUGUGGGAGUGCGUAGCACGGAACAAUCCGCAGGCAUC
rnacentral:sRNA from 1 species